rnacentral:tRNA from 1 species
GGGGAUUUAGCUCAGCAGUAGAGCGCUUGCCUAGGAAGCGCAAGGCCCUGGGUUCGAUCCCCAGCUCCA